rnacentral:rRNA from 1 species
GUCGAACGGCAGCACGGGAGCAAUCCUGGUGGCGAGUGGCGAACGGGUGAGUAAUGUAUCGGAACGUACCUUUCAGUGGGGGAUAACGUAGCGAAAGUUACGCUAAUACCGCAUAUUCUGUGAGCAGGAAAGCAGGGGAUCGCAAGACCUUGCGCUGAUUGAGCGGCCGAUAUCAGAUUAGCUAGUUGGUGAGGUAAAGGCUCACCAAGGCGACGAUCUGUAGCGGGUCUGAGAGGAUGAUCCGCCACACUGGAACUGAGACACGGUCCAGACUCCUACGGGAGGCAGCAGUGGGGAAUUUUGGACAAUGGGCGCAAGCCUGAUCCAGCCAUGCCGUGUGAGUGAAGAAGGCCUUCGGGUUGUAAAGCUCUUUCAGCCGGGAAGAAAACGCAUGGGUUAAUACCCUGUGUGGAUGACGGUACCGGAAUAAGAAGCACCGGCUAACUACGUGCCAGCAGCCGCGGUAAUACGUAGGGUGCGAGCGUUAAUCGGAAUUACUGGGCGUAAAGCGUGCGCAGGCGGUUUGUUAAGAUAGGCGUGAAAUCCCCGGGCUCAACCUGGGAACUGCGUUUAUGACUGGCAGGCUAGAGUAUGGCAGAGGGGGGUGGAAUUCCACGUGUAGCAGUGAAAUGCGUAGAGAUGUGGAGGAACACCGAUGGCGAAGGCAGCCCCCUGGGCCAAUACUGACGCUCAUGCACGA